rnacentral:tRNA from 1 species
AUGUUUGUGAUGAAAUGGUAAACAGAUACGCUUCAAAAGUUGACUCUACCUUGAGCUCGCCGGUUCGAAUCCAGUUAAAGGUA